rnacentral:rRNA from 1 species
GACAGAGGGUGCAAACGUUGUUCGGAUUUACUGGGCGUAAAGGGCGCGUAGGCGGCCAGCACAAGUCAGUUGUGAAAUCUCCGAGCUUAACUCGGAAAGGUCAACUGAUACUGUGCGGCUAGAGUGCGGAAGGGGCAACUGGAAUUCUUGGUGUAGCGGUGAAAUGCGUAGAUAUCAAGAGGAACACCUGCGGCGAAGGCGGGUUGCUGGGCCGACACUGACGCUGAUGCGCGAAAGCUAGGGGAGCGAACGGG